rnacentral:rRNA from 1 species
GUCAGCAGGGAGUAAGGACCAGCAUUCCUAAUAGGGGUGUUGUUGAUAGUACCUGCAGAGGAAGUCACGGCUAACUCUGUGCCAGCAGCCGCGGUAAUACGGAGGUGGCGAACGUUGUUCGGAUUUACUGGGCGUAAAGGGUCCGCAGGCGGUCCGGUGUGUCGGAUGUGAAAGCUCACAGCUUAACUGUGGAAUUGCAUUCGAAACUGCCGGACUAGAGUACUGGAGGGGAGAAGGGAACACUUGGUGUAGCGGUGAAAUGCGUAGAUAUCAAGUGGAACACCGGAGGCGAAGGCGCUUCUCUGGACAGAUACUGACGCUCAUGGACGAAAGCUAGGGUAGCGAAAGGGAUUAGAUACCCCUGUAGUCCUAGCCGUAAACGGUGUGCACUAGACGUGGGUGGAUUUACCCCCAUCCGUGUCUGAGCUAACGCAUUAAGUGCACCGCCUGGGGAGUACGGUCGCAAGAUUAAAACUCAAAGGAAUUGACGGGGACCCGCACAAGCGGUGGAGCAUGUGGCUUAAUUCGAUGCAACGCGAAGAACCUUACCUGGACUUGACAUAUAGCUGCAUAUGACUCGAAAGAGACAUAGCCUUCGAGGGUGCUAUACAGGUGCUGCAUGGCUGUCGUCAGCUCGUGCCGUGAGGUGUUGGGUUAAGUCCCGCAACGAGCGCAACCCUUGUGUUUAGUUGCCAGCACGUAAUGGUGGGAACUUUAAACAGACUGCUGGUGAAAACCAGAGGAAGGUGGGGAUGACGUCAAGUCAGUAUGGUCCUUAUGUCCAGGGCUGCACACGUGCUACAAUGGUCGAUACAAUAGGAAGCCAAGCCGCGAGGUGGAGCAAAUCCUCAAAAUCGGCCCCAGUUCGGAUUGGAGUCUGAAACUCGACUCCAUGAAGCUGGAAUCGCUAGUAAAGGCGUAUCAGCUACGACGCCUUGAAUACGUUCCCGGGUCUUGUACACACCGCCCGUCACAUCAUGGAAGUUUGUUGCACCCGAAGUCGCUGAUCCAACCUCUCACGAGGAGGA